UCCUGCUUAACGCAGGCAGUUUCCUUAGAGUCCCCACCAUAACGUGUUGGUAACUAAGAAUGAGGGUUGCGCUCGUUGCGGGACUUAACCCAACAUCUCACGACACGAGCUGACGACAGCCAUGCAACACCUGUGUACCUGUGUAUUGCUACACCCAAUCCAUCUCUGGAAAGGUUCAAGUACAUGUCAAGGUCUGGUAAGGUUCUUCGCGUAGCAUCGAAUUAAACCACAUGCUCCACCGCUUGUGCGGGUCCCCGUCAAUUCCUUUGAGUUUUAAUCUUGCGACCGUACUCCCCAGGCGGGAUGCUUAACGCGUUAGCUGCAACACCGAAGGUAAACCUCCGACGUCUAGCAUCCAUCGUUUAGGGCGUGGACUAC
rnacentral:misc_RNA from 1 species